rnacentral:rRNA from 1 species
GAUGAACGCUGGCGGCGUGCCUAAUACAUGCAAGUCGAGCGAACAGACGAGGAGCUUGCUCCUCUGACGUUAGCGGCGGACGGGUGAGUAACACGUGGAUAACCUACCUAUAAGACUGGGAUAACUUCGGGAAACCGGAGCUAAUACCGGAUAAUAUAUUGAACCGCAUGGUUCAAUAGUGAAAGACGGUUUUGCUGUCACUUAUAGAUGGAUCCGCGCCGCAUUAGCUAGUUGGUAAGGUAACGGCUUACCAAGGCAACGAUGCGUAGCCGACCUGAGAGGGUGAUCGGCCACACUGGAACUGAGACACGGUCCAGACUCCUACGGGAGGCAGCAGUAGGGAAUCUUCCGCAAUGGGCGAAAGCCUGACGGAGCAACGCCGCGUGAGUGAUGAAGGUCUUCGGAUCGUAAAACUCUGUUAUUAGGGAAGAACAAAUGUGUAAGUAACUAUGCACGUUUUGACGGUACCUAAUCAGAAAGCCCCGGCUAACUACGUG